UUACGAUUUUCAUAUUUUUAAAAAAUUUAAAAAACAAAUCACAAUUUUUGCCGUUCUUCACACCCGUUGACUAUAAGUUCGUUUUUACAAGGCAUUAAUCAAUAAACAAUUUGUUUACAACAACUACAAACUUUUAAUUCCUCUAGGCUUCUCUUGUGAGCUCUUCCACGGCAGUAGACUGCUGUUGCCUUAGCUCCAACCGAGCGCUUAGCUUCCUCAAAAUGUUUGUUGUAAUUUUUAUAGCUUGGUCGUCUUUUUUUUGUGUUUUAUCUUUUUAUGCUAAGCUCGUGCAAAAGUAUAAUGUGUUUUUGUUAUUGUUGUACUUUUUGAUUUGUGUGUUUUUAUACGAUCGCAUUGAUUGAUUGCGCACACCUGUGAGGUUUUAAAGGUUCGUUGUCUCGCGUUGAAGGUGCCUCAAGUCGUGGCUUUAAUUUGUGGCUGAAAGGUAAGAAAAAUGCUGAUGCGUUCGUUAAUUUUUUUUCAGUUUUUUUUUUUUUUUUUUUGCUGUUCUUGUUAUUCUUUUCAUUGCCGACUCUCGAAAAUGCUGUUAGCAAUAAAUUUUUGUGGUUUGCGUUGGUGGCGUUGACUGCUCGACUGCUCAAUUGCUUGAACUGAUGUGGUUAUCCGCAUUGCUAUUGUUUGUUGUUGCUGUUGUGGUGGGGAAUUUCUGUAAUCUUUUACCAUCGCACUCCACUUAUGACUUUCACAAUUCAUUUCUACAACUCAUCAGCAAAAUGUAUUUAUGUGGGUAUAUUGAGUACUGGAGCCUUUUAUUGGGUUUGCGGUUCAGCGUUCAUGUGACUUGAAUUUAAGCGAGCAAGUGGUGAAUUUAUCAGAGUUUUUCGGUGAUUUUUAAAUAUAUAAAAAUUUAUACCAAGCAAAAUUCGUUCAGUGCACAUUUCAUGAGUCUCAAUGACAUGACAAACCGAAGGUGUAAAAUUUCUUCGAAAUCGUCAACAGAUUGGCCUCUGUACCUGGAAAAAGAUCUGGCAAACUCCAGUAUGAUAAGGAAAGGAAGGAUGGUAUUCAUCUCUAAGGAAUUUCUGUGUUUGAGGAUAAUGAUUCCAUUGGCUAUAGUACCUGAAAUUUUUAAGUAAAAGAGGUGAAGAUCCAAAAAAAGGUGACCUGAGUAUGUUAUCUUGUAGUCCAGACGAUUUUUCUCUUUAGAAAUUUGAUGAUAUGACGCGUCUAUUUUAGAUUUUAUUAUAGCUUAUCCGCUAUGCUAUUUCUCAUUUUUAGGAGAAAUGUCAUACCUCAUGAGCCCUAAAAGAAACUAUGCUUAACUUAACAAUACUUAACUUAAUAUCAGUGAUACUAUCGAAACGAAACUUUCCACGAAUGAAGUCUUUGACAUAUGGCAAACUCAUAUAAUAUAAAAAAUGUAACAGACCUAUCUACACCUCUUUUAAACCCCAUAAUCCAAUCUCUCCUACGGAAUCAUUGAAAAUGUUGAAAAAGUGUGUUGGAGAGUCUACUUUAUCACGAACACAAGUAUUUGAGUGGCACAAAGCAUUCAGUGAAAGCGUGAAUCAUCAAAACUUGACUUAUGCGAGUCAUCCAUCCACUUUGUUAAUGGCAAUAACAUAGGUUAGUUAAAGAAACAGUGCUUUAAAAUCGUCGUAUAGGAACUAGAGAGAUAGCAGAGGUCAGCAUCAGGUUCAGCAUAUCUUCAGAAUCGACUAAACACAUUUUGGUUAAUGGUUUGGUUAUGAAGCGUGUCAAUGCUAGACUUGGGUGGGACAUAUAAUAGGUGAGGGAGCAACACAAUUUUAUUCAAUUCAUUCUUUCUUUUUUUAAUUUCUAAGGCCGGGACGGCAGGGACGCUUAAUUCGGAAUACGGACUGUCCCGGCCAAACCGGGACGAAUGGUCAGCUAAUGCUGGACUCACCCAAAGACCUAAAUCUUUUGCAAAAAGAACGUCGAGUAAAGGUGCUUGACAACGUAACUGAGAACCCUACAUUCUCCAAAAGCAUUAUUGCUGGUGAUGAGACAUGAUUUUAUGAAUAUGACUGUCCAACAAUCUAGCGAAUGGCGCUCCAAAAUGAGCUGAAACCGAAAAAACUAGAACUCGCUGAAAGAUCUGUAGGGCAUCCCAGCCGAAACGAGAAUUCAACAUGCUGUAUGGAAAAUUGGAUUAAUCGUUGGAAUGCUUGUAUUAGCUCGAAAGAAGCUAUUAUGAAACCCAUAAUAAAGAUUUGCA